CGCCAUUAAGUUCUUUCUAUUUUGUCUAUCAUUCAAAAUGUUUUUGUCAUCCUCACAAGUUUCAUAAAAAAGAAAUUCAGUCUUAGCGUUUCAACCUUUUCUAAUUGUUUGUAUUGAGCCAAGGUCCUCAUCUUUCAUUAAUCAGGGAUUGAAUAUAUAGCUAAGGAUGGCUGGAAAACAUAAUGUAAUAGUACCCGCGGAAAUACUUGUGCCAAAAUUAGACAUUGCAGAGCUACGCCAGCAAUCUCCGAUGGGAAUAAUGGGAUCAUCAUCGCAGUCUCAAUCUCCGAGGGCGGGAACAUCAUCUCCAAUGGGAGUUUCAUCGCCAUCCAUGAGGAACAGGUUACAAAAGCAAGCAAGUGUUAGGGCUAAUUGUCUUUGUUCACCGACUACUCAUGCCGGAUCAUUUAGGUGCAGACUUCAUAGGAAUUCUGAGCUGAGUCGAAGUGGAAACUCAAUUGGUUCUAAACUUUCUGAACUAGUUCAUGUGACUGAUAAGGCUACUCCUCUUAGUGACACCCUUCAUGCUCAAUAGCUAAUGGAGGCAGGAAUCCAUUCAGAACUACAUUAGGGAGAAACUGUCCGGAUCAGAUGGAAGUAAGAUUCAAUUGCUCAUAAUUAGAAGGUGACCUUUUUUUCUUUUCUUUUUUUACAUUGUGCAUUUUUUUAAGGCACCCUUAGUUUGAAAUUCUAGUCACCACUGGAAUUUACAUCAACAAAGGAAACAACCAGUGAAAAGAUAUAAUGCAAAAAUAACUUCUUGAUAGAACCACUUGUAAUUAUAAUCUAA